AGUUAAUUAGCUUUUAAAUAAAGUUUAUGUCUUGAAAACAUAAGAAAAGAAGCUUAAACCUUCUAUUAACUU
rnacentral:tRNA from 1 species